rnacentral:ncRNA from 2 species
UACGUAUGGAGCAAGCGUUAUCCGGAUUUACUGGGUGUAAAGGGUGCGUAGGUGGCGAGGCAAGUCAGAUGUGAAAUACCGGGGCUCAACCCCGGGGCUGCAUUUGAAACUGUCUUGCUGGAGUACAGGAGAGGCAGGCGGAAUUCCUAGUGUAGCGGUGAAAUGCGUAGAUAUUAGGAGGAACACCAGUGGCGAAGGCGGCCUGCUGGACUGUUACUGACACUGAGGCACGAAAGCGUGGGGAGCAAACAGG